rnacentral:lncRNA from 1 species
GCUCAUGCCUGUAAUCCCAGCACUUUGGGAAGCUGAGGCAGGAGGAUCACAUAAGGCCAGGAGUUUGAGACCAGCUUGGCCAACAUGACAAAACCCCGUCUUUACUAAAAAUACAAAAAUUAGCCAGGUGUGGUGGUGCCUACCUGUAAUCCCAGCUGCUUGGGAGGCUAAGGUGGGAGAAUUGUUUGAACCUGGGAGGUGGAGGUUGCGGUAAGCAGUAAGUUGCAGUUGCACUGCACUCCAGCCUGGGAGACAGAGCCAGACUCCAUCUCAAAAAAAUUAAAAAAAAUAAAUAUUGACAGCCAUUUUUGGAUCAGACUGGGAGACCUGUCCUGCU